rnacentral:rRNA from 1 species
GGCGGCGUGCUUACACAUGCAAGUCGAACGAUGAAACCGCUUCGGUGGUGGAUUAGUGGCGAACGGGUGAGUAACACGUGGGCAAUCUGCCCUUCACUCUGGGACAAGCCCUGGAAACGGGGUCUAAUACCGGAUAACACUCUGUCCCGCAUGGGACGGGGUUGAAAGCUCCGGCGGUGAAGGAUGAGCCCGCGGCCUAUCAGCUUGUUGGUGGGGUAAUGGCCUACCAAGGCGACGACGGGUAGCCGGCCUGAGAGGGCGACCGGCCACACUGGGACUGAGACACGGCCCAGACUCCUACGGGAGGCAGCAGUGGGGAAUAUUGCACAAUGGGCGAAAGCCUGAUGCAGCGACGCCGCGUGAGGGAUGACGGCCUUCGGGUUGUAAACCUCUUUCAGCAGGGAAGAAGCGAAAGUGACGGUACCUGCAGAAGAAGCGCCGGCUAACUACGUGCCAGCAGCC